ensembl:lncRNA
UACUCAUGUGUGGAUAUCGGUACUCGUCAGUUGAUAUCAAUACUCAUGUUUAUCGAUACAUGUGUUGAUAUCGAUACUCAUGUGUGGAUAUCGGUACUCGUCAGUUGAUAUUGAUACUCGUGUGGAUAUCGAUACUCGUCAGUUGAUAUCGAUACUCGUCAGUUCAUAUCGAUACUCGUCAGUUGAUAUCAAUACUCAUGUGUGGAUAUCGAUACUCGUCAGUUGAUAUCGAUACUCAUUUGUUGUUUUUUUGCCAAUAAAAACGACCACGCUUUAAAAAGUGUAAAUGAGCAGCUUUUACAAAACCACAGCUUUGUUGAUUCAGUGAAGGACUUUCACAGAAAAAUCACCAACAUGGCAAAUAUAAUAAUGUGUAUUAUACUUAUAAAUCUAUAAUAAAAUCAAUUCUGUUUACGUUACAAUUUGUAUUUGUUGCAGGAUCAGAUAGAAUUCAUUGGGGUUUUUUUUCCCUCUGAUAUCCGUUCCAUUGUUUUGGUUUAGUUUUUUUUGUUUGUUUGUUUGUUUUGGUAUCCUGGGUAUCGGAUCGGUGCCAUCUGCAGUUCAGCGACAUUAUGGGAAAGUCCCCGUGAAGCGCCUUGAAACACACAGCAUGAUUCGACGUGUUGACGUAAUUCCCACCGAAACAGGAAGUCAGGGCAGGACCUAUCGAGUGGCUCCUCCCCCCUUUUUAAGGGAGGUAGAGAAAGACUGUAGAUUUAGAAUGUAUAUAUUUUCUAAAUGUGAACGUCGUCAUUGUUUCGCCGCUUACAGACAGCCUUAAGGUCGAACAUCCUCACGCUAAAAGGCCGAAAAAUCUCGAUUUUGAUUUCACGGGGACUUUAAACCCGCCAUUUCUUUGGUUUUCGGAUGGAAUUGAGGUUGUUAUAAUUGACAUUUCGUGCUCAUCAAUAUUCCAAGCGCAAGGCUGCAAUAGAGGAGAGCGCGACACGGAAUGAAAGACGGAGGAAAAAAUAGUAAAGCACACAAAGAGCGGGAAAAAAAAUAAACGACAGUAAGAGCACCGACAACAACUUUCUACCGCGGGAGAUUGAAAAGAAAAUGAAAGACAAAUACACGCUGCGGGCGUUAAUAAUUAAAGACGAGUUGAAUUAAGGAUGAUAUUAAGGAUAUGAAGUGGAAGAAGCAUGACCAGGGAGUCCUGAAAUGAUUUUUAUUCCAUUUCAUAACAACGGAUACUGUUUGUAUGCUAAUGCUGCAUGUUAGCGUGGAGGAAACUUUGGAGACAUACCAAUAUAUGACAAAAAAAGAUUCAUAAUCAAUGAAUUCAAAUCAUAAUCAGUGCUCAGUCGUAAGGUUUAUUCUAUUGUGAUGAGGUCAUAUUGGCGCUCUGGCUUCUUAAAUACCAGAGUGUAAUGUAUAAAGGAUUCUCAGCACAUGUGUAUGUAUGAGAUCUGUAACUUUAUUGUAGCUAUUGAGCGUUUGCUCUGCACAGCUACUGGUAAAUAAAUUCUCUCAAACUCAACUCUCUCUCUCUCUCUCUCUCUCUCUAUAUAUAUAUAUAUAUAUUAUAAUAUCCUCAUAUGAGGACAGUUUCGUAUUACUCCGUUCCCAAACCUCUUCCUGUUUGAAGAUAUCGAUCAAUUUACAUAGUUACCCGGUUCCGAUAAGCAGAAAUAGUGAGGGGGAAAUUACAAGUCGCACACUAUUAUAGUUUGGGACUCAAGAGGAUAUUGAAAAGCUGAUGAAACUGACCGAUAUGAUCAAGUAGUAUUGCAUUGUUAUGGAACAAAACAGAAUGGAACCCACGAGGUUUAACGGAACGAUUCCCGAACCGUGAUCAAAAGACCCCAAGCGGCGAUUCCGCAUUCACUGUGAGUCUUUAACCGUAGACCACAUGACAGAGACGACGUUUAC